rnacentral:rRNA from 1 species
CAGUCGCCGCGGUAAUACGAAGGGUGCAAGCGUUAAUCGGAAUUGCUGGGCGUAAAGCGCGCGUAGGCGGUGAGUUAAGUCUGCUGUGAAAUCCCCGGGCUCAACCUGGGAAUGGCAGUGGAUACUGGCUCGCUAGAGUGUGUCAGAGGAUGGUGGAAUUCCCGGUGUAGCGGUGAAAUGCGUAGAGAUCGGGAGGAACAUCAGUGGCGAAGGCGGCCAUCUGGGACAACACUGACGCUGAGGCACGAAAGCGUGGGGAGCAAACAGGAUUAGAUACCCCAGUAGUCCCUGUCUCUUAUAC